AUACGUAGGGUGCGAGCGUUAAUCGGAAUUACUGGGCGUAAAGCGUGCGCAGGCGGCUUUGUAAGACAGGUGUGAAAUCCCCGGGCUUAACCUGGGAACUGCGCUUGUGACUGCAAAGCUAGAGUACGGCAGAGGGGGGUGGAAUUCCACGUGUAGCAGUGAAAUGCGUAGAUAUGUGGAGGAACACCGAUGGCGAAGGCAGCCCCCUGGGCCUGUACUGACGCUCAUGCACGAAAGCGUGGGGAGCAAACAGGAUUAGAUACCCUGGUAGUCCACGCCCUAAACGAUGUCGACUAGUUGUUCGGAGCGGUAACGCACUGAGUAACGUAGCUAACGCGUGAAGUCGACCGCCUGGGGAGUACGGUCGCAAGAUUAAA
rnacentral:rRNA from 1 species